rnacentral:lncRNA from 1 species
CUGGUCUCGAACUCCCGACCUCAGGUGAUCCACCCUCCUCGGCCUCCCAAAGUGCUGGGAUUACAGGCGUGAGCCGCCACACCUGGCUAAUUUUUGUAUUUUUAGUAGAGAUGGAGUUUCACCACAUUGGCCAGGCUAGUCUCGAACUCCUGGUUUCAGGUGAUCCGCCCUCCUCGGCCUCCCAAAGUGCUGAAAUUACAGGUGUGAGCCAUUGUACUUGGCUCUCCUUGUGUUUUUUACAGGACAAGAUUUCCAGCCUCUCCCAUUCUCCCAUUCUCCUGGUAGCUCUCCAGGAGCUACCCCUUUGAUCUGUCCACAUCCUUCUUAAAAUGUGGGGACCCAUGGGGAACCUGAGAUUCUGCAGAUGCCAGCCCAGUGCUGUGUGGUUAACAAUUUGGAUCCUAGCAUUAAGACCCCGGGUUCAAAUCCUUGCUCCACUGUAGGCCAGCUGUGUGACCAUGGUUAAAAACAUCUACCUUACUGAGCUCUAAUGUCAUCAUCUAAGUUAUUGUGAGGAUUGUACUGACCCACACUUUCUAUCUGCCCAAUCCCUUGAGGUGGGCUCAACCUGGGUUGGCAAUGGUUGGGCAAGGGAGAGCGAUCAAAACAGCAAACUGUCACACUGCUGAUAAGCCAAGCAGAGACACAGCCACCAUUAGGAGAAGGGGCUCUUCCAUCUCUAUCUAUCAGGCUUUUCUCUCAUGGAGCUGUAACCCCUGGUAAAGGAGGUGAGGAACUUGCUGGGGGGAGCACACAAACACCUGCUGAUGUGCCUGACUUGGAUACCCAGGAAGUUGCUGGCUUUCUCUUCCUUUCCCCAACAUUUUUAUUUGUUUGUUUGAGGCAGAGUCUUGCUCUGUCACCCAGCCUGGAGUGCAAAGGCGUGAUCUUGGCUGAGUGCAAUGGCAUGAUCUUGGCUCACUGCAACCUCCGCCUCCUGAGUUCAAGCACUUCUCCUGCCUCAGCCUCCCAAGUAGCUAGGAUUA